rnacentral:rRNA from 1 species
GAUGAACGCUGGCGGCGUGCCUAAUACAUGCAAGUCGAGCGAACAGAUAAGGAGCUUGCUCCUUUGACGUUAGCGGCGGACGGGUGAGUAACACGUGGGUAACCUACCUAUAAGACUGGAAUAACUCCGGGAAACCGGGGCUAAUGCCGGAUAACAUUUAGAACCGCAUGGUUCUAAAGUGAAAGAUGGUUUUGCUAUCACUUAUAGAUGGACCCGCGCCGUAUUAGCUAGUUGGUAAGGUAACGGCUUACCAAGGCAACGAUACGUAGCCGACCUGAGAGGGUGACCGGCCACCCUGGAACUGAGACACGGUCCAGACUCCUACGGGAGGCAGCAGUAGGGAAUCUUCCGCAAUGGGCGAAAGCCUGACGGAGCAACGCCGCGUGAGUGAUGAAGGUCUUCGGAUCGUAAAACUCUGUUAUUAGGGAAGAACAAAUGUGUAAGUAACUGUGCACGUCUUGACGGUACCUAAUCAGAAAGCCACGGCUAACUACGUG